rnacentral:lncRNA from 1 species
ACCGAUACACGACAGUUCGUCUGCAUUGGGCAUUCUGUAAUCAGCAUGCACGCAAAUUUGUUAAGGCUCUAAUAAAGCCAUACGCCACAUGCAAUGUAGGACAAGUACUUGGUGAAGUGAACUCUAACUUUCAGCGAAAGCUUCACCUACCUGUGUGAACUGCCAGACACAUUGCCGAAAAUAAGAAGAAUUCCAAUCUCCAGUCUACUGGAAGAUUGGCAUGUAUUACAAUCUCAGAACGGUAACAAAAUAUUGAAGAAAAUCCAAUGGGAAGAAUGAAAACUUUGGUGUGAAAAAGUGCAGACUCGUUGAAAGCUCAAAAGCUGGUUCAUUGCACAGCGCAUCUUUGUCGAAAAAACUAACCUCUGACAAGAAAUUGGCCUAUCGUUAUGGAUAACGAUUUGAUUUAACAGUUACAUGUUAAAUGUGAUCCUAAAGUAGAGCCAGAAGAUACCGGUACGCCAACAUCCAACGGUGGGCGCUCAAAUUACCUUACGAUUCAUAGUUCCGAUGCAAUCGCUAUCAAGGAGAAAAGCAGUCGAAAUGUCCUUUACCAACUGAUGUCAUCUUCAAGUUGGUCACGAAAGUGAGGAACAAGACGUAUGUCAACCAGUACACGAACAAUCCUCUUGCGCUCAAUUGUGGUAAACGAACUUUCGGCGCAUUUGUGAUUCAACAGUGAGAUGGAUGCCCAUAAAUUCUUUUCGAUGCUCAAUAAUGAAAUGCUUACCGUCUUCUUUGACUAAUGAUCGGCUUGAGGUUUAAAUGAGAUGCAACUUACAACCACACCGACGUUGCAACCGGAGUUUUUGACAUCUGCUGUCAGAACGUUUCCAUGUAACUUUCACUCCACCAUCACUACGAAUUCCUUAUUUCUCUACUCAGACUCUGGAAUAUUUGGGUUACGACCGACGAAGAAACUGGCAUCCUGGAAGAAAUUGACGAUAGUGAAGGAACUAUUGUUGUGGAAUACCGAGCAGCCUCAUUGCCCCAUCAAUUCCAACAGCCUGCUCACAGUUUUGAAACAGAAUUUGGAAAGGCCGUUUGUCGAGAGCAAAAAACAAUGAGAAACAAGAAUUAUUGAAGCAGGCAGUCCCCACGAUACACAGUAUAGUUGACAAAACAACGUGAAGGUCAACACAAUUAAACAACAGAAAAUCCUUUCAUGAUCCCAUUUCAUCAGCUAAAAUUUCUGAAAUAAAGUUUAUUUUCAGGAAUGUGUUCGACAUCAUUGGGAUAAGUUAAAAUGUGUGUUAUAGGUUACUCACUCAAUUGGUGAAUGUCAAUUUUUUUUUUCAUUGAAUAGCCAAUGAAAGUAGUUUCUCGCCAACUAGACUAGCCAAAGUUGUUCUGAGUAGGUGUCUGAGCUGCAGUCCAAGUUCGGAAUCUAGGCCAGAAUCAAGGGAUUGUAGAUUAUAUGAUGUGGCCUAGGAUGGAGAAUUGCCUUCAUGGUCUAUUUUGAGCGUAUGAGAAGUUCCAACGGAAAAUUAUCCUUUUGGUAAAGUGGUUUGACGCCACGAAAGAAAACGAUAUGGUCAAAGAACGUUUCAUGAGUUUUCUUGCCGGGAAUACGGAAUAUGACAUGGAAAUAAAUCGAGAUCAUCAUGGAAGAGACUGUCAGCUUUUUCUCGGAGAUGCGAAGCCUUUUCUUCUAUCAAAAACCCAGAGUGCUCCAGUAAUUGGAUCCAAGUCUUUGGAGGUGGCUGUAAUGAAGGGCACUAGAUGGCACGAGUGUUUUCGUUAAAGACGAAAUUCCGCCAUUUUCUUUUCUGCAAAUUUCGAAAACGAUCGUUACUUAUUCCAUUCCUUUUUUUUUUCUUGAAAUUUUUCGUCUUAAAAAUGGUAAAAUCUACUUUCAAUUUCAUCACAAGGCCUCAGGUGAAACUGCUGUACAUUUUGGCAAAAUGUCGUUUCUUGCUGCAUGGCUGGAUUGGCUGGACGUUUCCUGAGUUCGUUACAUUCAGAAGCACUUUAGAACAGUUAUUUAGGAUUAGGAAAUCAUGUCCAUUGGGCCAAAUCUUCUGAUGUUGCAUGAUGGAUGUCCAUUUUGGCGAAAUAUCAUCUCUUGCUGUAUGUCUCUUCCCAUGCUGAAGCACUUCGCUUCACUUCAAAAUAGGAAAAUCUUGACAACUGAAGAAUCCAAAUAACAUUUUUCACAUAAUUGAAGUCCAGUAGAGCUGUUGCAUGCAGUUUGUUGUGCUGGUGUUUGUACAUCCUCAAGUUAUUGAAGUCUUCAGCAGAUUCAAUUCGUUGCUGCUGUCUAUCUUGUGGCCAACAACAAAAAAAAAGUGCAAUUCAAGAGCUGACCACCAUAUGAGAUUUAAUUAAGGACAAUUUAGGAUUGAUAGAUCAGAGGUUAAUCCCUCACCGUUGUUUUAUGGAGGGAGUCAGCGUUGGUGUGGCUCUGCAGUACUACGCCAAUCACAGAGGGCAAAUUGAAUUGUCCGUUACGACCGGACGAUGGAGCAGAUUGCCUUCCCCAAGUUCCGGAAAUGUGCGAGUAUUUGACCACGAAAGGAAAGUGCGCAUCUUCAACACGGCGGACGACUAGGGAUCGAAAAUGGCCGUUUUUUUCUAAGGAGUCGACAUGUUUACCCAAAUGAAACGGUAGAAGAAAUUGCGCUGACAGCCGUUCCUGUUUUGGGUCAGCUCGCACAUGUCCAUCUGGAGUCAAAUCCUCUUCGAUUUGGUCGUCAUUAUCAACUUGGUUGUCGCCUUCUUUUAUCCACUUGACACUGACGGACCGGCUAAAUCCAUUAGCAUUUGAAACUGCUUUAGCAUUGCCACUUUGAAGCAAACGACUUUUGUUCCUUCUCUACGAGAUGCACCUAGUAGAGGAAUCUCGUGAUGGUGUAGGAAUCGCAACUCAACCGUCGUCUGCUUCACACCCAUGUUCGACACAAUUCGUCAAAUCAAAUAUGAAUACAGUAAUACAGUAAUACUAAUGAAGAGGAGUAAUUCCAAAUCCCACUUGCUCGGUGUUAGACCACAACCAUUACCAGCCUCCUUUAAAGAAAGGAUUCACCAUUGAACUCUUUACUUUUUUCUAGUCUUUAAUGAUCAUGAAAAUAAUUUCGGGUUGACGUGAAAGGAAUCUUUGAAGCCUGUCACAAGUAACUGUUGGGUGCUAUUGCUAUGCUGCUAACUAUUGUGUUUAACCUGAACAACCCUUUGUGGCUGUAAGGGCACCGAAAGUAAGUUUACCUUAACCGUGUGAGAUAAUUGUGCACGUACGUACCUACAUCACGACUAAUCAGACUGAAAAUGAUUGUCAUUUUCUUCAAAGUGCAGUUGCUUUGUGUAAAGAUGAAUCUUGGCUUGUCUCUUGAGAACACAGCACUUGGUCACAUUAAGCUAUUUAAACAAAGGAACUUGCUACCGGAAUUCUCCACAAAAGGAUUUCUCAGUCAGGUUAAGUGAAGCUGUCUGCAGUUGCCGUCUUCUGUAGAACAUUUUUACUUGCCACCUUGCUAACUGCAUAAAUUGGGAAGCUGCCUUUUUUGCACAUUUACAACAGCCUGUUAGUUGUUUCUGCUUUAUAUCUGAUUCGUUUCACAGGUUUUCCCACUGUUUGUUGAUGUUUGAGGUAUGAUUGAAAUUGCCUUUUUUUGUGUUACGUACAAUGUGCUGAAGCCUGCCUGUUCCCUGGUUUAAGGAGUUACUACUUAAACAAAGUCGAAUUUACGAUGGUGUUCACUUU